rnacentral:sRNA from 1 species
GGAGGUGAGGGUGAUCUGACUGGGACAUCUGUCACCCCGCUGAUCGCUGGGGUUGACUCGGCUGCUCUGGCCGGCUGGGCGGGGUCCCCUCCCUCCCUCACCGCUCCCUGCGUCUCUCCCGAAGCUGCAUGCUCGGGCGAAGAGGACCUUCCCCCAUAGAGGAGAGGACCGUUCUUCCGUCAAAGGUAUUUGACAAACAAAACCAAACCCGAGAGGAUAACCACCAGGAAAAGAGCCAUAUAACCCUUU